GAUGAACGCUGGCGGCGUGCCUAAUACAUGCAAGUCGAGCGAACAGACGAGGAGCUUGCUCCUCUGACGUUAGCGGCGGACGGGUGAGUAACACGUGGAUAACCUACCUAUAAGACUGGGAUAACUUCGGGAAACCGGAGCUAAUACCGGAUAAUAUAUUGAACCGCAUGGUUCAAUAGUGAAAGACGGUUUUGCUGUCACUUAUAGAUGGAUCCGCGCCGCAUUAGAUAGUUGGUAAGGUAACGGCUUACCAAGGCAACGAUGCGUAGCCGACCUGAGAGGGUGAUCGGCCACACUGGAACUUAGACACGGUCAAGACUCCUACGGGAGGCAGCAGUAGGGAAUCUUCCGCAAUGGGCGAAAGCCUUACGGAGCAACGCCGCGUGAGUGAUGAAGGUCUUCGGAUCGUAAAACUCUGUUAUUAGGGAAGAACAAAUGUGUAAGUAACUAUGCACGUCUUGACGGUACCUAAUCAGAAAGCCACGGCUAACUACGUG
rnacentral:rRNA from 1 species